AACUAGUACGGUAAUAAUAAUAAACAUUUUAAGAACAAUAGGUCCUCAAUACCAGUACCACAAAUACGAUACUGGUAUAUUUAUCUAUAAUAGUAAUAAUUAAUAUUCCGCCAGUUCCCUAUAGAAUUCCCUCUUGACCUUCCCCAUGCAUAGCAUUUAUGUUCUAACUAUUGUCUAUUUUUCAGAUCCAGGCACAGGCCCAUUCGGCAGAGAAAACGACGCCUAUGACACCUUUUAUGGUACUCACUUCCCCCCAGAGUGGUUCAGUCAGGAGUACAAAGCGGGACCCUCGACAGUAUACCAGAUCGGAGUGGUCCUGUUCUUCAUGUGAGGAGAUGACCCUUCUGGAGCUGAAGGAGACCAGUUGGCUUUCCAAAAAUGGCAAAUAUUUCUUUAAGGGUUGCAUGCAUGCGGACCCGGAUCAGCGUUUCACCCUGGAGCAACUGAGGAAUCACCCGUGGCUGAGAUAGUAUCACACGCACACACACACACACACACACACACACACACACACACACACGUCUUAAUUUACAUUUAAACAUAAAUUACACUAUAGAAAGAUAGAUGUUUUAAUUUGACUAACAUUUUAUUAUUUAUGUUCCUACAAUUGUCUAUUUUACAGAUCCAGUCACAGGCCCAUCCGUCCGAGGAGAGGGGAUCUCUCUUUGA